GAUGAACGCUGGCGGCGUGCUUAACACAUGCAAGUCGAACGGUGAAAGCGGAGCUUGCUCUGCUGGAUCAGUGGCGAACGGGUGAGUAACACGUGAGCAAUCUGCCCCUGACUCUGGGAUAAGCGCUGGAAACGGCGUCUAAUACCGGAUACGAGCUGCGAAGGCAUCUUCAGCAGCUGGAAAGAAUUUCGGUCAGGGAUGAGCUCGCGGCCUAUCAGCUAGUUGGUGAGGUAACGGCUCACCAAGGCGUCGACGGGUAGCCGGCCUGAGAGGGUGACCGGCCACACUGGGACUGAGACACGGCCCAGACUCCUACGGGAGGCAGCAGUGGGGAAUAUUGCACAAUGGGCGCAAGCCUGAUGCAGCAACGCCGCGUGAGGGACGACGGCCUUCGGGUUGUAAACCUCUUUUAGCAGGGAAGAAGCGAAAGUGACGGUACCUGCAGAAAAAGCACCGGCUAACUACGUGCCAGCAGCCGCGGUAAUACGUAGGGUGCAAGCGUUAUCCGGAAUUAUUGGGCGUAAAGAGCUCGUAGGCGGUCUGUCGCGUCUGCUGUGAAAACCCGAGGCUCAACCUCGGGCCUGCAGUGGGUACGGGCAGACUAGAGUGCGGUAGGGGAGAUUGGAAUUCCUGGUGUAGCGGUGGAAUGCGCAGAUAUCAGGAGGAACACCGAUGGCGAAAGGCAGAUCUCUGGGCCGUAACUGACGCUGAGGAGCGAAAGGGUGGGGAGCAAACAGGCUUAGAUACCCUGGUAGUCCACCCCGUAAACGUUGGGAACUAGUUGUGGGGACCAUUCCACGGUUUCCGUGACGCAGCUAACGCAUUAAGUUCCCCGCCUGGGGAGUACGGCCGCAAGGCUAAAACUCAAAGGAAUUGACGGGGACCCGCACAAGCGGCGGAGCAUGCGGAUUAAUUCGAUGCAACGCGAAGAACCUUACCAAGGCUUGACAUAUACGAGAACGGGCCAGAAAUGGUCAACUCUUUGGACACUCGUAAACAGGUGGUGCAUGGUUGUCGUCAGCUCGUGUCGUGAGAUGUUGGGUUAAGUCCCGCAACGAGCGCAACCCUCGUUCUAUGUUGCCAGCACGUCAUGGUGGGAACUCAUGGGAUACUGCCGGGGUCAACUCGGAGGAAGGUGGGGAUGACGUCAAAUCAUCAUGCCCCUUAUGUCUUGGGCUUCACGCAUGUUACAAUGGCCGGUACAAAGGGCUGCAAUACCGUAAGGUGGAGCGAAUCCCAAAAAGCCGGUCCCAGUUCGGAUUGAGGUCUGCAACUCGACCUCAUGAAGUCGGAGUCGCUAGUAAUCGCAGAUCAGCAACGCUGCGGUGAAUACGUUCCCGGGUCUUGUACUCACCGCC
rnacentral:rRNA from 1 species